CUAGAUGCCCACAAUUACUAUUCUCUCUUAUCUUAGCUAAGGCAUAUUACGUACAAGACUGGGACACUUCAGGAUGGGACAGCUAUUGGAAUAAUCUCUGUUAUUUGCCAGUUACCUAAAGCCUGGACAUUUGAAUUCUGGAGACAGAAGCACACAGAUCUCUGAGAUCAAGGUCAGCCUGGGCUACACAGUGAGUUCCUCACAGCCAGGCUACACAGUACAACAAAACAACAACAACAAAAAAAAUCUGGUUUUGUGUAUGUUAUUACCCUUUCUUUCUCCUGGACAAUACUUGAUAAUCAUUCUUAUUGUAUAUAGUUUUGUUUAGAACCUUCUUAUUUAGACAAAAGGGGGAAGGGUAGUGGAUAGUCACUCCACCCAUGACCUUGGGAUAUCUGACCCAAUAGAGGUGGUGUUUCUUGUCUGUGAUAGGACCCCCUAAAGGAAAGAAGGGGGGCAGUUGCUCUCGCUCGUGCUUGGCAUGGUUGGACACCAAGCGGUGGAGAGGUGGCCUGGGAUCAGCAGUAGCUUCUGCUUUGUUCUGUAUUUGAGAGUCUGU
rnacentral:lncRNA from 1 species